GACGAACGCUGGCGGCGUGCCUAACACAUGCAAGUCGAGCGAGGUUGCGGAUGGGUGCUUGCACCCUGAAGCUACCUAGCGGCGGACGGGUGAGUAACGCGUGAGUAACCUGCCUUAUACAGGGGGAUAACAACGAGAAAUCGUUGCUAAUACCGCAUAAGACCACGGUAUCGCAUGGUACAGGGGUAAAAGGAGCAAUCCGGUAUAAGAUGGACUCGCGUCCCAUUAGCUAGUUGGUGAGAUAACAGCCCACCAAGGCAACGAUGGGUAGCCGACCUGAGAGGGUGAUCGGCCACACUGGGACUGAGACACGGCCCAGACUCCUACGGGAGGCAGCAGUGGGGAAUAUUGGGCAAUGGGCGAAAGCCUGACCCAGCAACGCCGCGUGAAGGAAGAAGGUCUUCGGAUUGUAAACUUCUGUCGUCAGGGACGAAAAGGACGGUACCUGGCAAGAAAGCCCCGGCUAACUACGUG
rnacentral:rRNA from 1 species